AUUUUUUUCUUGAUACGAGUGUUUCAAUGCUUUAUAGGUGGUUGAUGCUUAUGCGUUGAUUGGGGAUGUUUCUGGUCUUGCUGAAAAGAUACAAAGCUUCUUUAUGCAGGAGGUUCUCUCAGUAACCCAUUCUGUCUUGAAAAAUAUUUUGCAGGAGGACCUGGAACCUUCCAAUAUGCAAAGUAGUAGUUCCAGACUUACCUACAGUGAUCUAUGCCAUCAAAUACCUGAAUCCAAGUUUAGGCAAUGUUUAUUGACAACACUAGCUGCCUUUAUCAUGCAAUCAUGAGCUUUCAACUAGCGGAUAAG